GUAAAAAUGCCAGAAAUUUUAUGGGUUUGGUUUAGGUCCAAAUUAUGUUCAUUUUGGACUUUUUGCU
rnacentral:tRNA from 1 species